rnacentral:rRNA from 1 species
GAUGAACGCUGGCGGCGUGCCUAAUACAUGCAAGUCGAACGAAACUUCUUUAUCACCGAGUGCUUGCACUCACCGAUAAAGAGUUGAGUGGCGAACGGGUGAGUAACACGUGGGCAACCUGCCCAAAAGAGGGGGAUAACACUUGGAAACAGGUGCUAAUACCGCAUAACCAUAGUUACCGCAUGGUAACUAUGUAAAAGGUGGCUAUACUACCGCUUUUGGAUGGGCCCGCGGCGCAUUAGCUAGUUGGUAGGGUAAAGGCUUACCAAGGCAAUGAUGCGUAGCCGAAUUGAGAGGUUGAUCGGCCACAUUGGGACUGAGACACGGCCCAAACGCCUACGGGAGGCAGCAGUAGGGAAUCUUCCAAAAUGGGCGAAAGCCUGAUGGAGCAACGCCGCGUGGGUGAAGAAGGUCUUCGGAUCGUAAAACCCUGUUGUUAGAGAAGAAAGUGCGUGAGAGUAACUGUUCACGUUUCGACGGUAUCUAACCAGAAAGCCACGGCUAACUACGU